rnacentral:tRNA from 1 species
CAGGAUAUAGCUCAACUUGGUAGAGCGCGCGGCUUGGGACCGUGAGGUUGGGAGUUCGAAUCUCUUUAUCCUGACCA